rnacentral:lncRNA from 1 species
CAAAUUUUCUCUCUCAUCUCUUUUCUCAUCUUUUUUCUCAUGUUUUGAUUCUUUUCCCAAAAUUAUCUAAUUUGAUUCAUAAACAAAUAUUUAAGAUGCAUCUUAAAUUAAAGACCACAACAAGAUCUUUAAUUUGAUAUAAGAAUCACAAAAGGUUGAUUUAAAACCAAUAAAUUAUGAUGAUUUAAAGUUUCAAACUGUGUUCUAAAUUUUAGUUUUAAAACGAAAACCGUAUUUGACAUUAGAAUAUUUCAAAACUCACACAAGUUCACUGCUAUAAUUGAAAACAAAAAAUCAUUUUCCGCAAAUUUAAGAGCGAUUUUUCAAAAGAUAUCCUCUGUGUCCAUCACUUUUACAUAAAUAAAAGAGCAAGAAACUGGGAAAGGAGGAUAGACGAACAAAAGAGGGAGACAAUAUCGAGAAAUAAAAAAGCUAAAAUUACAACAACUCACAACUUUGAAUCGAUUGGCACAUAACCCAGGAAAAAGUUUCCCGUUACAUAGAACAACCUUUAUAUGAAGAUUUGAUUUUUUUUGCAGUCACCUUGCGAUUUCACUGUCUCAAUAUUCUCAUGGACAUGUAGCACACGACUCUGAGUAAUGGGUGCCUAUACAAUUACAGAAGCAACCACUCAUCUUCAUCGGCUACGGCUAGGAUGGCGAUAAUCAUGGAGGGAGGCGAAGAGAUUGGCGUUGACAGAUUAGGGAAAGAUAAAUGAGAAAUAGGAGUGAGAGAAACAAAAAUGGGGCUGCGAGACUAGGUUAAGCCUUAAUGUCUCUUACUUU